rnacentral:misc_RNA from 1 species
GGCAACAAGGAGGACUAACAGUCAAUAUAGCAGACGAUAACAAAACCAUUCCGCACUACUUUGUACAAGAUAAUUUCAACAGAAAGCAUCUCUUGAUAAUUUGCGAGUUGUGCAUCUUUGAGCCGUUAGGUCAUUUUAUUUACAUAGAUAUAUUGUGUUAGUCCUCCUUGUUGCCAGCAACGCUGAUGAGGUACUGAUUCAAAUGCUGGCCAAAAAUCUUUGUAGAAAAUGAUUCAGUG